CGAUUAAGUACAAUUUGAUCAGUAUCUGUGCUUGUAAAAAUCGUCUUUCGAAUAAAUAAUAUUACUAUGAAAGUAUUCACGACGAUUAUUGUCAGUGUAAUACUUUCAGUUGACACCAGAAAUUAUUUGAUAAGGGUUUUGCCAUGUUCGGAUUAUCAAGGUCGAUGAAGGUGAGUGUUGAUUAUCAAGCGAAGCCGAAUGCUGGGGUUGAACUUCACUUACCGACGAGACCGUAAUAUUACUGAUUUCGGAUAACACAAAAAUCGAAUCCAAUAAUUUAAAACAAAAAGUGUAAAAAUGGAAAUAUAUAAAAUGUUUAUUACUAUUUGAAUAGUUUAAGAUUAAUGUUCUUUUAUUCACUUCACAUAUACGAUCGAUGAACAAGACAUAUUAUAUUUAAAUAAUUUAAAUUAUUGACUGGAUUAUUUAGUAUAAGAUCUGUAUUUACAAAGCUAUCAAUCAAUGUGAGUAGCGAUUUUCUUUCGAAAGGAAAAAAAGGGAUUAGCUCGCUCUAAUUUCUUUUGGAAUAGAAUUCCAAAAGUAUGCUAUACUGUAGUACGUUAUACAUAAAACCUUUUUCAUAUUAUUAGUACGCAGUAAACAAAGACUACUUGAAAGGUUCCUAUAAGUGUGUAUGUCGCAUAAAACAACGUCUUUGUUAGCCUGACUUUCAGACGGCUACUUGGUGACCUUGGACUUGGUGAUCGAGACAUCGACAUGAUGAACAAAUGGAGUAUAGAACCAAAGAAUGGAGUAUGGAAACAAAGCCAACAUAAAGUAUUUAUUUAGCCUAGUAAUUCAAAGGGUUCUUAUAAUUUUUAAUUAUUCGUCUAUUCUCAUACUUAUAAAGUUAAGACCCAUACAGACCGGACGCGAUUUGGCAACGCGACGCGAAUUUUCAGUUUUCAAUAACAUUUAACUUUGAUAUUUGUCAAUGUUUUUCAAAUAUUCCGA